UGGGGAAUAUUGGACAAUGGGCGCAAGCCUGAUCCAGCCAUGCCGCGUGAGUGAUGAAGGCCCUAGGGUUGUAAAGCUCUUUCACCGGUGAAGAUAAUGACGGUAACCGGAGAAGAAGCCCCGGCUAACUUCGUGCCAGCAGCCGCGGUAAUACGAAGGGGGCUAGCGUUGUUCGGAUUUACUGGGCGUAAAGCGCACGUAGGCGGACUUUUAAGUCAGGGGUGAAAUCCCGGGGCUCAACCCCGGAACUGCCUUUGAUACUGGAAGUCUUGAGUAUGGUAGAGGUGAGUGGAAUUCCGAGUGAAGAGGUGAAAUUCGUAGAUAUUCGGAGGAACACCAGUGGCGAAGGCGGCUCACUGGACCAUUACUGACGCUGAGGUGCGAAAGCGUGGGGAGCAAACAGG
rnacentral:rRNA from 1 species